rnacentral:rRNA from 1 species
ACCGAAUAGAUACCCCGGUAGUCCUAGCCCUAAACGAUGAUCGCUUGGUGUGAUGGGUACCCAAUCCCGUCGUGCCGUAGCUAAACGCGUUAAGCGAUCCGCCUGGGGAGUACGGUCGCAAGGCUGAAACUCGAAAGGAAUUGACGGGGGCCCGCACAAGCGGUGGAGCAUGUGGUUUAAAUUCGACGCAACGCGAAGAACCUUACCUGGGCUCGAAAUGUAGUGGACCGGAGUAGAAAUAUUCCUUCCCCUCAAGGGGCCGCUAUAUAGGUGCUGCAUGGCUGUCGUCAGCUCGUGUCGUGAGAUGUUGGGUUAAGUCCCGCAACGAGCGCAACCCUUAUUGCCAGUUGCUAACAUUCAGUUGAGCACUCUGGUGAGACCGCCUCGGAUAACGGGGAGGAAGGUGGGGAUGACGUCAAGUCCUCAUGGCCUUUAUGUCCAGGGCUACACACGUGCUACAAUGGCCGGUACAAACCGCUGCAAACCCGCGAGGGGAGCUAAUCGGAAAAAGCCGGCCUCAGUUCGGAUUGUAGUCUGCAACUCGACUAC